rnacentral:lncRNA from 1 species
CUUCAUUUAACAGUCUUGGCUUCCUCCAUAAAGUCCUGGAGCUCCUGACUACAGGAUGUGAGGGCACUCACCUCUUUUGUGUAGUGUGGUCCGGAACCCUUUUCAGCCCCCUCCGUGGGCAGGACGGCAGCAUGCGUCAGAGCACAUCAGUACACAUGCAUGUGACCUCAUAGAGAUCAUCUACUCCAUCUUCACUUGUCCUCCAAUAUUGUCCCAAGCACUCAUUAAGUUUACCAUUGGAGAAAUGCCAGGUUAACACAGUAGUGGUGCCCAUUACGUGAAAACAGAAUUGUUGCUGGGAAGCGCAAUUUAAAGCAAGCUUUUGCCUUGAAAAGGGCAUUUGUGAGGGGUCUGAUAUCCCGAUGAAGGGCCAGGAUUUCUGGUACUGCAUCUUGAAAAUAUGUUACCCUGCUGCCUCCUAUUUGUAGGUUUGACAAAUUUCAGAGGUUCCCAGCUAGAAGAUGGUCUGUUCUUGCUGGGGCUGAAUUUCUGUGGAAAGGAUAAUCAUAUAACUUACAGAUAUUCUGGGACCCAUUUUUGUCAUUUUAGGCUCNGGUGAUAUCAGUGAUUAAGGAGUGUUUUUUCUGGUUUUAUCUAGUUCUCCAACAUAUCUCAUUCUGGUCAGGCAUAGCUUGCACAUCACACUGGUUUAAAAGGAUUUGCAGUGGUUGCCUGUUUUGCACCAAGUCCAGUUCAAGUACCUAACCCUGACAUACAAAGUCCUCAGUGACUUGGGCUCCAAGUAUUAUGUCUAAACAAAUACCUCUUUCUGCAGAGAUCUAUCUACGCAUUAAGAUCUGAUGGGGCAGCCCUGCUAUAAUGCCACCAUUCUUGAUGGUUUGAAAGAUGUGCAUGUAUCUAAGGGCCUGAUUUGUGACGGCCCCAUUGUCAUAGAAAAACUUGUUCCCAAGGGCACUGGCGAAGCAUAGGCUGUAACUACAGUAAUAAAUAAUAAGUUCAACAUUUAAAGUCUGCA